rfam:Magnaporthe poae ATCC 64411 unplaced genomic scaffold supercont1.2, whole genome shotgun sequence.
UUUUAUGAUGACCAAGGGCCAGGAGGCCCGAUCUCUCAAACCCAGCUCGUCGAAUGUUCUCACAAACAACGCAGAGAACGUCCUGAGAUAAAAUUUGUUCUGAUUUU